GCUUACACAUGCAGUCGAGGGGUAUGGUUCUUCGGAGCCAGAGACCGGCGCACGGGUGCGUAACGCGUAUGCAAUCUACCUUUUACAGCGGGAUAGCCCAGAGAAAUUUGGAUUAAUACCUCAUAGUAUAUAGAGUUGGCAUCAACACUAUAUUAAAGUCACAACGGUAAAAGAUGAGCAUGCGUCCCAUUAGCUAGUUGGUAAGGUAACGGCUUACCAAGGCUACGAUGGGUAGGGGUCCUGAGAGGGAGAUCCCCCACACUGGUACUGAGACACGGACCAGACUCCUACGGGAGGCAGCAGUGAGGAAUAUUGGACAAUGGGCGCAAGCCUGAUCCAGCCAUGCCGCGUGCAGGAUGACGGUCCUAUGGAUUGUAAACUGCUUUUAUACGAGAAGAAACACUCCUUCGUGAAGGAAUUUGACGGUAUCGUAAGAAUAAGGAUCGGCUAACUCCGUGCCAGCAGCCGCGGUAAUACGGAGGAUCCAAGCGUUAUCCGGAAUCAUUGGGUUUAAAGGGUCCGUAGGCGGUCUUGUAAGUCAGUGGUGAAAGCCCAUCGCUCAACGGUGGAACGGCCAUUGAUACUGCUGGACUUGAAUUAUUAGGAAGUAACUAGAAUAUGUAGUGUAGCGGUGAAAUGCUUAGAGAUUACAUGGAAUACCAAUUGCGAAGGCAGGUUACUACUAAUUGAUUGACGCUGAUGGACGAAAGCGUGGGUAGCGAACAG
rnacentral:rRNA from 1 species